ACCCAUUUUCCCCAAUUUCCAUUCACUUCUCGUCACUUUCACCGCCAUUCCCCUUCUUCUUCCUUCUCAUUCCUUCUUCUUUCUCAUGUAAACCGACCUUCCCUUAUAUCUAAAUCCUUCUUUUUUUUCUUCUUCUUCUUUCGUUUAAUCAAGGUAUCAUCUCAACAUGCCAUUUUCAAGUGAAUUCCACCUCUUCUUUCAUUCGAUUUUCAUUUGAAAUUAGGGUGGAGAAUGGUUCUUUUGGCUUCGAAAUUUAGGGCAAAAGCAAGCUUCAAUCACCUUAUACAUCCGAGUUCACAAGAGACCACGUGUAUUUCUCAAUCUUCUUCUUCCUCUGAAUUUCGAAAGGCUGCAUGAAAUCAAAGUAGCAAUCGAAAUCCUUUCCCUUGUCUUUGAAUUCUGCCGGUUUAGGGGGGAAAGAGGGAGCUUCAAUCUUGUGGAUUAAACAUCAAAUUCAAAUCAAGAAUCAAGCAUUGAAUCCGAUUUCCAUCUCGUUUUUUUUUGGUAACUGGAACGAAAGGAAGCGACUUUAUCGAAGAGCCCUUCUAGUAAUCGCGGGGUAGCAGAUUUGGCCUCUUGAAGCGUUCUUUUUGCUGAUUACAGAUCGGAUCCGGUCGGGAAUAAUCGGGUUAGCAAUGUUGAUGAGAGUGCUAAGGAUGUCCUUUUGAGCUGAGGCCGUGGAAGCUUAUAGUUGUAUUAGGAAUUGUUUAAUGUAUAUUAGUUCUGAUUAGUUUUGAUUAUGUUAAUUAUAAUGGACUCGUAGUGAGUUGUAUGGUUACUUUAUGUUUAGAUUAGAUAUUGGGUUUGAGAUUUAGCUGGUGGUUCCUUUGCCCAGGUUUUGGGAUAUGAUUUUUAAGUUUCUUGGGAAGUAAUCCCCGUGACGACCCUGUUUACCCAGUCAACGGUAAGUCGGGUUGUUACAGUUGUUAUUAUUAGUGUUAACAUAAUAUUAAAUUUUAUUGGGUUAUAGGGUAUCUUCUUAAUUAAGUUUAAUGGUUGGUAAAGUCUUCCUAAAAUUAAAGCAGCAAACGAUCGUUAAAAUUGGAUUAAUGAACACUAAGACUUUAUUAUCUCGGGUACAAAUAGUAAGCUAAUAUAAAAAGGUUGACAGGGGAUUUACAAGGAUACUACAAGUCCUAUUACCGCCUAUUCAUAUAAAAGUAGUAAUUAAUCAAUGAUUAAAAAUAAUCUUGCCAAUGACUAAAAGUCUAAAAUACAUGUUGCUACUACUUUCUCAAAUUGAUUUACUAUCUUAUAUACUUGUCAAAUUUUAUUAUCUUGUAUUAAGCUUAAACUUUUUGCUUUACAUAUUUUCUACUAAAAAAAAGUACUUUUUACAACUAGUAAUCACAAUCUCUGUGGAAUCGACCUCUAUCUGCCACUUACAAUAUUUAACAAGUUGUUAUAAGAUGAAAUAUAAUUUAAAUUUGUGCGCAUACAACAACAUCCAAUCAUCAUCAUCAUACCAGUGUAUCCCG